AGGAGUGUGAGCUCAGUGGUAGAGCACAUGCUUAACAGGCACAAAGCCCUGGGAUCAAUCUCCAGCACCCCCA
rnacentral:tRNA from 1 species